rnacentral:rRNA from 1 species
UUAGAGUUUGAUUCCCAUGGCUCAGAACGAACGCUGGCGGCGUGCCUCAUACAUGCAAGUCGAGCGAGAAAGUCUCCUUCGGGAGAUGAGUAAAGCGGCGGACGGGUGCGUAACACGUGAGUAAUCUGCCCUGAAGUGGGGGAUAAGCUCCCGAAAGGGGGUCUAAUACCGCAUAACUUCCCCUGAUGGCAUCAUCGGGGGAACAAAGGUGGCCUCUACUUGUAAGCUAUCGCUUCAGGAUGAGCUCGCGCUUCAUUAGCCUGUUGGUAGGGUAAUGGCCUACCAAAGCUACGAUGAAUAGCCGGCCUGAGAGGGUGUCCGGCCACACUGGGACUGAGAUACGGCCCAGACUCCUACGGGAGGCAGCAGUAGGGAAUAUUGGGCAAUGGGCGAAAGCCUGACCCAGCAACGCCGCGUGUGGGAUGAAGCUUCUUGGAGUGUAAACCACUGUCAGGAGGGACGAAUGANAACGGCAAUAAUAAGUCCGUAGUUUGACAGACCUCCAAAGGAAGUCCGCAAC